CCUACGGGAGGCAGCAGUGGGGAAUUUUGGACAAUGGGCGCAAGCCUGAUCCAGCCAUGCCGCGUGCAGGAUGAAGGCCUUCGGGUUGUAAACUGCUUUUGUACGGAACGAAAAGACUCUGGUCAAUACCUGGGGUCCAUGACGGUACCGUAAGAAUAAGCACCGGCUAACUACGUGCCAGCAGCCGCGGUAAUACGUAGGGUGCGAGCGUUAAUCGGAAUUACUGGGCGUAAAGCGUGCGCAGGCGGUUAUAUAAGACAGAUGUGAAAUCCCCGGGCUCAACCUGGGAACUGCAUUUGUGACUGUAUAGCUAGAGUACGGCAGAGGGGGAUGGAAUUCCGCGUGUAGCAGUGAAAUGCGUAGAUAUGCGGAGGAACACCGAUGGCGAAGGCAAUCCCCUGGGCCUGUACUGACGCUCAUGCACGAAAGCGUGGGGAGCAAACAGGAUUAGAUACCCUGGUAGUCCACGCCCUAAACGAUGUCAACUGGUUGUUGGGUCUUCACUGACUCAGUAACGAAGCUAACGCGUGAAGUUGACCGCCUGGGGAGUACGGCCGCAAGGUUGAAACGUCAAAGGAUUGACGGCNGAGAGNGCGACGGACGACGACGAGGGAGGAGG
rnacentral:rRNA from 1 species